GGGCCACUACAAUCUCAGGACCGGGCCUGGAUUUGAGCAUGAGGGGGAAUAGUCUAUCCAUGGUGAGCGGUGCGGUCGUGCACGGCAGCAGCAGUGAGCGGUGCGAGGCCGGGGCGGCGCUGGUCGGUUAGCUACUCGCGCUCUCCCGUCGUCACGCGCGGAGGUCGAAGCCAUUGGUGCGAGCGCAGCGAGCUCCGCGGCGGAGCAGACCCCGUGGCUCCUCUUUUUCUCCGUCUCUUCUUUUUCUUUUUCCAGAUCUACGCGCCGAUGAACGGCGCGGCGUGGCAGCGGCGAGCCAGCAAGCAGAGUGAUGCCGCGUGAGGCUGGGGCGGCUCUCGUCGACGACGAGCCGCGGGUGCCUUCUGCCGGUGGUGCCCGGGCAAUGGGCUGGAGCGGGUACCUCGCCGGCGGGGCAGCAGACGCAUCCUCAAGGCCGCGACACGACGGAUCCCGGUUGCCGGCGCGGCCUCCUCGACUCCUUGUUUCUAUCGUGCCGUGCGGACUGCGCGUGCACCUCCGCUUCAUCGGUCGUGCUCAGCAUCAGCUUGGGAGAAUGUCUGCUUGCUUUUCAGAGCAUGUUGAAGUAUCACCCUAUACUCUGUGACUGCGCUUCCAGGGAGAAUGCCCUUUUGACCCCUUAUAUAUGCCGGAGGGAUAAGGAUCACCCAGUUCAAUUGACCUUUUUCUUUUUCGAGAAAUGUCUCGGCAAUAAGAAAAAUGUAAAUAUAAAUGCAUUAGCGAUUAGGUUAUCCUAUAAAUGUAGUCUUAAGGUGUAGCAUACAUGACUUCAUGUUUGUGACUACUGACUAGUAUGGCAGUAUGCCAAUGUGAAGAAUAAAUUUGAUAGUGAUUUUUUUUAUGAAAACAGCUUCUCAUGGUGAAAUUAUACAGCGCUUCAAAUUUCCCAGCA